rnacentral:tmRNA from 1 species
GGGGAUGUACUGGCUUCGACGCUGGUGAUGAAACUCAAUGAUGCAUGCCGAGAGCGCAUUAUCUCUCGUAAAUCAAUCUUGCAUUUUUAUAGUCGCAAACGACGAAACCUACGCUCUAGCAGCCUAAGGGCUGCUUGUCCGCCGAACCAGCCUGUUCGUUGGGCUGUUAGCGGUUAAAGCAAUAGACGAUAACUAAGCAUGUAGAUUCGUGGGCGUAGUGCUGGCGGACGCGGGUUCAAAUCCCGCCAUCUCCACCA